AUAUGUAAGCUGUUUAUUGCAUCAGUAAUCUUCAAACAAAAUGAAUGUAAUCUAAACAGAGCAACAGAGGCUUGUGAAAAAACUAGAAAGAAAACAGCCACAUGACAAGAGAAGAAGGAAUGGAAGAAGGCUCCAGGAGGUGUUGAAUUUGUUUGAGUUCUUUCUCCUAGAAGACAGAAGCAGGUGCAAUAGAACACAAAUAUAAAAAGGGAAGCCAAGGUUCCUGCCUGGGUCGUAAAAAAUAUUGGAUACAAAAGAUUUUAGAAGAAGAAGGAGAAGACAAAGUCAGGGGCAGGACACCAGAACCAUCAGAAAGACCAAAAGAUGGAGAGUUACGUGAAGAGCUUCCAGAAAAUAGGACAUAUACAAGUGCUGGUAUUCCAGUCUUACACACAGAUGCAUAGAUAAAUAAAUAAUAGCACACAUUUGCUAAUAAA